rnacentral:lncRNA from 10 species
GGGAGUGACCCGAUUUUCCAGGAAGGUCCAUAGCAGUUAACCAAUGCCUGUUACCAUUGUAUGCUGGGCUUGCAAGGGGCAUAUAACUUGCCUUUUUAGUUCGCAAGUCGUCAGAUGUAAAGAAACUGUAUUUGAAGAGCUAUCCUUGAGGAUUUUCACCUAAGGAGACUUCAUGGCAGCUGGGCAUGAUUUGAAUGCUAAGAACCUGGAUUUUGAAGUGAUGCAUCUUUGAGAUGAGACUCAAGGUUUUGGGGGAGACAAAUGAGUAUUUUUUUUUUUAUAUGAAGAGGUAGGAUUAUCGUGGUCAGAGAAUGGAUUGUGGUAGAUAGUAUUUUCCAAAGAUAGAAGCAUCAACAUUUAUUUGAUUCCACACGUUCUUCUUACAGUGUGACAUUGAAACUCUUUCAUCAAGAGAUGAGCUUAUGUGCCAUUUACUGGAAGCAGGGGUACUUUCAUAACCACUUUGCUUAAUAGAAUUAAUAAUGACAAUGUGACUAUUUCCCAGGCUAGGUCACAAACGGCAAUGACUUCUACCUACUUUCUCCCUUCUCUCUCUCUCUUUCUCUCUCCUUCCCUCCCUUUCUCUCUCUUUCUGUUUCUCUUUUUCUCUCUGGAACACUCAUUCUUUGGUCAAAGUUAGAUACUAUGCUAGGUGGAAGUUCAAACUAGCCUAUGUGGAGAAAUCACAUUGAGAUGCCAUGUGGAGAGAAAAUUAAGAGCUGCAGCCUUCCCCAACUACCAACUACUACUUCACCAACUAUAUGAAUAAACAGACUUUCAGAUGUUCAGAGUCCUCAGAUGUAGAGUCACUUCAGGGUGCCUAUGAGAGCCAGCUUUUCUCAAACCCUACUCAAAUUUUAGAUUUAUGAGUAAGUAAAUGUUAUUGUUUUAAGACAAUAUAUUUUGGGGGUAUUAAUUACGAAGCAUUAGGCAACUGAAACAAAAACUGUAUAUGUUGGAAUGUUUAUAUUACAAAUUUUGAAAUUAAUAUGCCCACAUUUUAUCACCUUCUGACUAAAAACUGGGGUCACGUGAAUAUUCAUGAUAAAACACCAUGGCUCUAGUUCCCCACCUGUGCAAGCAGAAACUCAUUCUUCAUAAAAUUGCUAUCUUGUUCUUUUGUGCUCUACUACUGAAAAAGAAGACACACACACACACACACACACACACACACACACCAGUUCUUCCCUAUCUAGACAAUUCAAAUCACUUUCAUUUAAAACAUCACCUUUUUUUUUAACUCUAGGAAAUGUCCCCAGAGAUGCAUUUCUACCUAUCUAUAGUUAGACAUAAAAAGAUAAUUUUUUCUCUGUUCUCAGGUCCCAGCCUCAUUGUCAAUAAGGAAUUGUUAUUAAGUCAUAAUUAGAGUCACUAAUGCAAAAUUUUGUUGCAUGUGGAUUUAUUUUCUUUGAUGUAAAGAAGAUCUUUUGGGCCCUCUGUUGGUGCUGUACUUUUCAUUGAACUGCUAGUCUUUACUUCAAGUCUUUAUUCAUCAGCUCUUAAUCUUUGCUCAGCCUUCAGCCUCUUUUAUUCUCUUUCCAUCCCUCCUUCCCUUCUUCCUUCCUUCCUUCCUUUUCUUCCUUCCUUCUCUCUUUCUCUCUUUUCUUCUUUCUUUUCAUGCCUGCAAUGCUUGGUUUCCCUGAAGCUUGCACUGCAACCUGCUGUCUUCCUGCUCUUCUUGAUAAUGGCUAGAUGAAAUUGCAGAUAUCUCUCUCUUCAAAGAGAGAGCGCCAUCUCUGAAUUGUCUCUGGCAUCAUCAGCAUUCUGCUGAAGCUUUGGCAAUGGAAGCAGUGCUUUACAUUACUGGGAAGAGACUGAUAGGAAAACAGAUUCCUAUUGUGCAAAGCACUGAUGCUUUUUGCAUUCCACCGUUGUACCACUUUCCAGAAGCUACAGCUUAAGGGCAUCAUUGGGUAAUUGUUUUAUACCCAAUGUCAUGGUAGGUUUCAUGUGCAAAUAUCUUUGUUAUAACCCUAGUGUUCAUUCCUUCUUGCAUCUGUUUUCUCAGUUAAAAUUAUUGUAUAUCAAUAUUCCUACAUGGUUUUUGAAAAUAUAAUUAUAAUAGUUGCAUAUAGCAUUCAACUUAGUGGAUCAACCGUAACUUAGUCAGCCAUUCCAUUAUGAAAACAGUACAUUGCUUCCUAUCUUUCACCACUUGAAUUCCGCAUAUGUGAGAAGCUAUUUAAUAUAAUAGUUUUUUCUCUUAUAAUGGACAACUUAUUUAAUCCUGUCAAGAACUAAAAAACUAUGCUUCCAAACACAUAUUGCCAUUUUUAUUCCCUGAAGUGGUCUGUUCUCAUUUUCAUUGCCACCUUCAUUAUACAAGAGAAAACAUUUUCCUUAUUCUUGCUGGGAUCAGGUGUUUAUCCUAUUUAUUAUAUUUUGCCAAUUUCAUAAAUAAAAAAAGACUGGUUGCCCUAGUGUACAUUUUUUGAUUAUUGGCAAAGAUAAACUUUUUUUCAUAGCUUACUUGUAAUGUUUAUUUGUUACUAUUUCUCUUAUGAAUUGUCUGGUUUUGCUCAUUUACCUUCACCAAAAGUCGUAGAACUAAGUCCUCUGCAAAGCUCAUGUUUGAUGCCAGGAUUUCCAGACUCUGAGCAAGCUGUAUCGUUGCAUUUCUCAUCUAUAAUGGCAUAAAGACAUGGGAUUUUAGUAACAUAAUAGUCUAAGAAGUAAAAUUAGAAAACAGUCGAC